rnacentral:rRNA from 1 species
CACGUAGGGCGCAAGCGUUGUCCGGAAUUAUUGGGCGUAAAGAGCUCGUAGGCGGUCUGUUGCGUCCGCUGUGAAAACUCGGGGCUUAACCCCGAGCCUGCAGUGGAUACGGGCAGACUAGAGGUAGGUAGGGGAGAAUGGAAUUCCCGGUGUAGCGGUGAAAUGCGCAGAUAUCAGGAGGAACACCCGUAGCGAAGGCGGCACUCUGGGCCGAUACUGACACUGAGGAGCGAAAGCGUGGGGAGCGAACAGG